ACACACACAUCCGCCCGGGUACUACGAGCACAGCUUAAAACCCAAAGGACUUGGCGGUGUCUCAGACCCACCUAGAGGAGCCUGUUCUAGAACCGAUAACCCCCGUUAAACCUCACCACUUCUUGUUUUCCCCGCCUAUAUACCGCCGUCGUCAGCUUACCCUGUGAAGGCUUAACAGUAAGCAAAAUGGGUCCACCCAAAAACGUCAGGUCGAGGUGUAGCAUACGAAGUGGAAAGAAAUGGGCUACAUUUUCUAUACAAUAGAAUACUACGAAUGAUGUCCUGAAACAAACAUCUGAAGGUGGAUUUAGUAGUAAAAAGCAAACAGAGCGUCCUUUUGAACUAGGCUCUGAGACGCGCACACACCGCCCGUCACUCUCCCCCCUCUAUACCCAAAUAAUACAUAAUAAACCACACAAAACCCACGGGGAGGCAAGUCGUAACAUGGUAAGUGUACCGGAAGGUGCCCUUGGAGUAAU
rnacentral:rRNA from 1 species